AAAUUGAAGAGUUUGAUCAUGGCUCAGAUUGAACGCUGGCGGCAGGCCUAACACAUGCAAGUCGAACGGUAACAGGAAACAGCUUGCUGUUUCGCUGACGAGUGGCGGACGGGUGAGUAAUGUCUGGGAAACUGCCUGAUGGAGGGGGAUAACUACUGGAAACGGUAGCUAAUACCGCAUAACGUCGCAAGACCAAAGAGGGGGACCUUCGGGCCUCUUGCCAUCGGAU
rnacentral:rRNA from 1 species